rnacentral:sRNA from 1 species
GUUGAGGCUGCGAGAUCACGUGACAGCCUCUGGCCCACGGCGGAGGGUAACGCUACCUCCUACUGGAAGGAGGGAGUUCCGUCAAUCAGAGCGAUCUCAGGGAGACAAAGCUUUUCACCUGCGAAGAUUCCAGAAGUCUUAAAUCAUCCAGAAUUACGUCUUGGUUUGUCUCCGUGCAUUGACACAACUGAUUGGAGGAGCAUAUAAAUUUACAAACUGCGCUUUGACAGAAUGUUCUUAAGUAGAGAGCAAAGUGAGGGUACAGUGUGGCAAUUUGAGAAGAUUGAAGUUUCAGAGUGAAAAAAGUAAUCCAAGUGUUAGGAACAAAGGGACCGGCAUGCUUUGCUGAGUCUAUCUUUGGCGUUUGUAAUUUUGGUGUAAAAUAAGGCACUGUUUAUUACUGACUUCUCAGGCAAAGUUUACCUCUUGAACCAACUACUUAACAGAGAAAACUAACAGUUACGAUUCACUCAUGCAGAUGUUUACUAGCACUUGGAUGGCCACCUGCCCUGAAGUGCCCCUGUGUGUUCCUUCCUCUGUUUCCAUAGCUACCUCUUAGCAAUGUUCUUUCAAUGAAAAUCAAAUCACAGUGGAGUCAGGUCAGUUUGUGCUUUAAAGAAAGCUGUAGGUACAACAAGUGUUUGAGACAUCAGGUUACAAAUAAAGCAAUCAGCGGAGCCGAGAGUGGUGGUACACCUCUUCCAUCCAAGCACCCUGCAGGCAGAGUCAGAUGCUGCAAGUCUGUAAAUGAAGACAAGAACAAUAUCGUCAUUGCUUCAAGGAAACACCUUUGGAGCUGGAGAGAUGACUCAUGGGUUCCUGCUCACUUCCAGUGACCCCAAGUUAUGUUUCUAGCACCCACACCAGACAACUCACACACCUUCGCAUGAUAUCCUAGGGAUCCUCUCUCUUGUGGACCAAGAGUGCCCAGAGCACAUGUGGCACAUUUGUGCAUACAUAUGCUCACACAUACACGUUCACACACAAACAUGCUCACACACACAAUAAGACACAGUGCAAAAAAGAAGCUGCCUUCUCAUACAUCUUAUGUGAAACAUUACAAUAUAUAUUUAACAUAUAAAUGUUUGCAAUUAUAUGUAAAGUAACAUAAUAUUUUUAUUUGCCAACCUAUUAUUAAUUAGCUAAAAAAACUUUAUAAUUGAAUAAAAGAUACAUUUUGGCUAAAUUCUGUCCUAUCAUGUGCUAAUAAAUCCUGGAGUAUUUGGGAUUUUGCUCUCCACUCAAUGACAUCUAAACUGAGAGAAGCCAAGUUCUUAGAGUUGUGAGCCAAGUCAAGAGGGUGCAGUGCCAUUAGAGGGCAGAGAACAUUAUCUGGGAUGUUUACUCACUCGGGGCUGGAGGAGGAAGGGAAGGGAGGAAAAACCAAGAGGGAAGAUGGAAAGACUUGGGUCACAGUUUGCCUUAAGCAUUCUCGAAUGAGUCCACCUGAGCCAGGAAGUGAGUCACAGCAUAAGGCUGGGAUCAGAGUGGGGAGAUCACUAAGAAGUGACUCAGGGGCAGCAAAUACAGAAAAGAAAAGAAUUAAAAGGGAAUGUAGGUGGUGGUAAUUGGAGAGACAGGAAAAAUGCUUUUAAAAAAUUUUAGGCCAGAAAAUAGAGAUUUGAGAUAAUGCUGACAAAUAUGUGAAAAAUACUCAAUUAUUUCUGAAAUUACAGGCCUAGCUGUUGCUUUUAGCAUUUUUCAAAGUAUGAGGACCCUUUAUUUAUUUCCUGUCCAACCUAUUGUACAUGCAGUGCACAAGUGAAGUUACCCCGUUUAAAUCUUAUUUCUUUGCUCCAUGGUAACUAGGCAUUUUGAGCAAUGUCUUGUGGAAGAGGGAAUUUCCUGCACUACAGUCUGGAGCCCAUGCCUAGCUUAGUCCUUGUUUACCAGUGUCUUUUAUUCUCCAUUCUUAUUUCUGCUGGGGUUAAUUAAAUGGUUGUUUCAGAAGUACUUCUUCGAGUUGAUUAGAGUCUCAUUGAGAUAAUUGCUUCAAAUGGGAAUUAGUUCAGUGCUCAGCGCAGUGCCACUGUUAACUUCGUAUGGCACACGGUCUUGGAAGAAAGAAGAGAAAAUAGGAUCAGGGACAAAGGACGUUGAAAAGCUUUGCAUGUAUCUUAUACCCUGGGCAAAUUACACUCAACUGUACCUAGUUGUUCCAGUAGUCAGCAUUGCUUAUAUGAAACUUACAAAAAUUAUUUACUUGUUGUGCCCGUGUACUGCAUGCAAACAGACACUCUUAGAAUACCAUGUGUCAUUGCACACAUGUGAAAGUCAGAAGA